AUGUCAGAUGGACAUCUUUUGGUCAGCUGCUUGUAUCUUUCCCAAGCUUCAUAGAGGGAUUCACCAUCCUUUUGUUUAAAGGUUUGAACAUAUACUCUCAGCUU